GAUCUGCCCUGCACUUUGGGAUAAGCCUGGGAAACUGGGUCUAAUACCGGAUAUACCUCAUGGGCUGCAUGGUUUGUGAGGGAAAGCUUUUGCGGUGUGGGAUGGGCCCGCGGCCUAUCAGCUUGUUGGUGGGGUGAUGGCCUACCAAGGCGACGACGGGUAGCCGGCCUGAGAGGGUGACCGGCCACACUGGGACUGAGAUACGGCCCAGACUCCUACGGGAGGCAGCAGUGGGGAAUAUUGCACAAUGGGCGCAAGCCUGAUGCAGCGACGCCGCGUGAGGGAUGACGGCCUUCGGGUUGUAAACCUCUUUCAGCAGGGACGAAGCGCAAGUGACGGUACCUGUAGAAGAAGGACCGGCCAACUACGUGCCAGCAGCCGCGGUAAUACGUAGGGUCCGAGCGUUGUCCGGAAUUACUGGGCGUAAAGAGCUCGUAGGUGGUUUGUCGCGUCGUUCGUGAAAACUCACA
rnacentral:rRNA from 1 species